rnacentral:rRNA from 1 species
UACAGAGACUGCAAGCGUUAUUCGGAUUCACUGGGCGUAAAGGGCGCGUAGGCGGUCAGCACAAGUCAGUUGUGAAAUCUCCGGGCUUAACUCGGAAAGGUCAACUGAUACUGUGCGACUAGAGUGCGGAAGGGGCAACUGGAAUUCUCGGUGUAGCGGUGAAAUGCGUAGAUAUCGAGAGGAACACCUGCGGCGAAGGCGGGUUGCUGGGCCGACACUGACGCUGAUGCGCGAAAGCCAGGGGAGCGAACAGG